rnacentral:rRNA from 1 species
CCAGCUCCAAUAGCGUAUAUUAAAGUCGUUGCAGUUAAAAAGCUCGUAGUUGGAUUUCUGCCGGGAGCGUCAUGUCUUUCGCCUUGUGCGACUGAACGUUGUCGUCUUUUGGCAUCCUUGCGGAGAUGCGUUUUGGCAUUAAGUUGUCGGGGCGUGGAUUCGCAUCGUUUACUGUGAUGAAAUUAGAGUGUUUAAAGCAGGCAAUUGCUGUGAAUACAUUAGCAUGGAAUAAUAAGAUAGGACUUGUUGCUAUUUUGUUGGUUUGCACGACAAGUAAUGAUUAACGGGAACAGUUGGGAGUAUUCGUAUUUAAUUGUCAGAGGUGAAAUUCUUGGAUUUAUGAAAGACGAACAAUUGCGAAAGCAUUUACUAAGGAUGUUUUCAUUA